GCAGAACAAUAAUAUAUUUUCCCAAU
rnacentral:piRNA from 1 species